UCUCUCUCUCUCUCUCCCUGACGCUACGAUAACAACAGGUGUUCACGUUAUCUAUUACGGCGUCCGCUUGUCAUUGUAACUCACUUGCAUAUCGUUUAUAAAAAGGAAGCUGUCGUAGCAGCAGUGACGCGCUGUCGGUAGCGCAGGCGCGAUAUCGAAUCACUUGACAGACGGAAAGUCGCCGCUGUUUUGCUUUUUCCUACACGGCUUUUGGCGUUACUGAACAUCCGUGAGAAGAGCGCAGAACUCCUGGGGAUAUCAACCAACGCAUGCGCGCCAGCGCAUAAGAGGAAAGUUUUGCUCUGACAACUGCCGACGAGUCGUGUCAGAGAAACGAUGUUGACCCUAGCGCGGAGACUGACCUUCCGCCCGUGCGUCUACAGGGUUAACGCAGCCCUGUGGUGUUCGUCGGCCGCUACCCCUCUCCAACGCUUCAACGACGCCGUCGCCAACCUCGACAAAGUGCCUGAGGAGCCGUCGAACGACGUGAAGCUCAGGUUGUACGCGCUGUACAAACAGGCGACAGUGGGCAAGUGUAACACUCCCAAGCCAGGGGUGUUUGAUCUGGUCAACAAGGCUAAGUGGGACGCCUGGAGCACCCUCGGUGACAUGCCUAAGGAAAAGGCGCAGGACGAAUAUGCCUCGAUCGUCAACAAGCUCGGUGCCGCCCAGAAUUCUAACACCAGAUCAUCGAGCGCUGGUGUAUCUGCGCAGUCGCCAUCUGCUGCCACAGGCGGUGACCUCAUCUCGAGCGUCGAGAACAAAGGCUUCGUGGUCCGCUUCAACCGGCCGACCAAAAAGAACUCCAUCACCCUCGAGAUGUACGAAACAAUGAUAGGUUACCUCAAGGAGGCGACCGAGCGAGACGACAUCCACUACCUGGUGCUCACGGGCACGGGCGACUUUUUCUCGAGCGGCAAUGACCUUGGCAACUUCAUGAACAGGCUUAAAACGGGUCUGCCACCAGAUGUGCUUGCCAAGGAUGCGGCCGAGCUUGUCCGUCGUUACGUCGCUGCUUUCAUUAACUUCCCCAAGCCGGCUGUGGCACUGGUCAAUGGCCCUUCCAUAGGCGUUUCCUGCACGGUCCUCGGUCUCUUUGACUUCAUUUAUGCCUCGGACAAGGCUUUCUUUCACACGCCAUUCACGCUGCUCGGACUGAACCCUGAAGGCUGUUCUUCCUACACAUUUCCAAGGGCCAUGGGCGCAGCUAGAGCCAACAGGGUGCUGAUGCUCAACGAGCAGCUCAGUGCACAGGAGGCCAAGUCGUGCGGCUUUAUCACUGAUGUGUUCCCACACGCCACCUUCCACGAGGAGGCCAAGAAGAGGCUUCAGGAGCUUGAUAAGCUUCCACCCAAGUCUUUGCAGUAUUCAAAGGCGCUGGUUCGGGAUCCCAUCUGGGCUGACCUGCACAAGGCCAACGACAAGGAGUGCGAUCGCCUCACAGAGCGCUUCAUCUCACAGGAGGCAAUGCAAGCAGUCAUGAACUUCUUCAAGGACAAGGGGAAGCUUUGAACUGUGCAGCAGCUGUUGCUGCAUUUGCUGCCUUUGAGGGCUCCGUUCAGCCUUGUGCAAUGCUAACUGUGGACUUCUUUCCGGUGAACCUUAGAGGACUAAGUGCUGUGGGUUGUUGCAGUGCUUCGGGCCACAUUUUCC
rnacentral:misc_RNA from 1 species